GGGGGGUGUAUCAGUGUGAGUGAUCACAGACUGGAGAGGGAAUGUUUAUCUAAAGCAGCAAUCCCAUUUUCCAUGAUCCCAAACAGAAAGGCUGGCUCAGGCCUUAUAUGGGCAGGCUGGAGUCUCUCCCUGGCUCUCUGAUGAUACGGAGGAUAACAGUGGGACUGCACAUCAAGCUUACAGCCAAUGAGAGCACUGCAGUUUAUUUAAACAUGUGUAAAUAUCUUCCAUCAGGUGUUGAGACUAUGGAUACUGGACAUUCUGCAGUCUGCACAGAGGGUAAGAGACCCUCUUCAGGACCCUACACAGAGAUGGGGUCUGUACUUUAGACCGACGUGGUUCCAGAGAGAAGAGUUCCCAUGUCCGAGGAAACAGGGAGGUGAGUAGUGUGUGUGUGUGUGUGUGUGUGUGUGUCUGUGUGGUGCUUUCUGUGAUCUGAUUGGUCACGUUGGUCCUCUGUUAACUCUUGUACUUCAUGAUGCUUAGAGAAGUCUCUUGAUUCUGCUGUAACUGUAACAGACUGUGCGAACGGUGUCGAAGUGAAAUCAGUAUAGAGACAUUAGAAUCAGAAACAGGUUGAUUGGCGAGUAGGUUUACACAGACGAGGAAUUUGUCUUGGUGUACAUGGUUCAUACAUAAACACAGUGAAACAUGGCUUCUUCUUCUUCUUCUGUCUGUCCUCCAGCUGACUUCGUGCUCUUCCCUGCGGCCCAGGGUGCAGUGCUGCAUCUCCGGUCAGCUGGUAGUCUGAGAUGAAGCACUGUAGCUCGGGACGGAGGACCCAAACAGCGGGUUGAUCAAUGUCAGGAUGUGGUUUCUGUUUACAUCCAGACCUUAAAAUAAGUUGAGGAAAUGGGACAAAUGUGAACGUUUUUCACCUUCCUAUAUACUGUAAAUAUUUGUAUUAUAUGUAAUAUAUUGUAUUAAUAUGUUUUCUUUAAAUAAUUGAAUAAAUAACUUAAAGUAAGCAUGCUAAACCUGUAAUAUUUCAGACAUCCGUAGUUAAGGAGUUUAAAGGACGAUGAUUCCGUCUGCUCGUGUAUGGAGCCCAGCUUCACGGCUGGGGGGGGCAGAUCCUGAGCUGAUGUGAGGAGGGGGGCUCUCUGUCUUUCUCCCCUCUCCCGGGGUCCAGUUUUCCCAGGAAUCCCUUGACCUAUCAGAAAGUGGGAUUCCUGGAAAUACUGUUCUUGGGGGCGGGGCUUUUCAUCCCUUCCAUAUAAAGGGUGUCGUGUAGGGGGAGUGAUCAUGUUAUGGGUUUAUGUUGAAGUAGUUUGACUGUUUUUUGUGUUUACAAAUGAAAGCAACUAUUGGUGGAAUGGAGCCACAUUGUGAACAUUGUCAUAACUGCUGGGGAUUCAAUAAACAUUACAAUCCAAGAAA